GGUGGGCCCUCCCGCCCUCUUCCUUCCCCCGCCGGCCGACAGGGCGGCAUCGCCAACCUGCUGUCGCCGCGCGCCCGCCCCACCUGCACGCACAGGUGCCCUGGUGCGCCCCAGCUUCGGGGCCCUUGCAAGCUGGCCCCCAUCCGCAAUGCAGACAUCAACCAGCGCUUCUGAGCCUAGUCCCUUGUCACUUGCUCCUUAUGCUCUGUGGUUUCCCGAGUCCAACCAUGCCAUGCUGGCUUCUGCACUCAGCAGAGGGCCCUGGAGGUUGGGAAGUCCAGUUCAUCUUCGUGUCUCCAUGCCCGAUGCGGGCCUGCCAUUCAGCAGAGGUGCCAUUGUCAUCUACGGACUUCCUGGUUGUUCAGUUGGAGUGAAGGUUAAUACCUAGAGCAGCUCUGAGUCUGGAGGUUUGAAACAUUUAGCUCAAAAUAGGCCAUGGAGUCCACAAGGCUGUGUAUUUUUUUUAGAAGGUAUUUGAAUUUAUCUGUUUUCUCUGAAGGAGUCACCUUACCAGACAAUUUAGGACUUGGUCUCUCUCUUUCCAAUCUGCCCUCCACCAUAUUGCCUUUACUUUCUGUUUCUAGAUGGUGGCAUGAUGGCUUAUGUCAUCUGGGCCUCAAGGCCAGUGGGAGGGACACCCACCUGCCC
rnacentral:lncRNA from 1 species